UACAGAGGUGGCAAGCGUUGUUCGGAAUUACUGGGCGUAAAGGGCGCGUAGGCGGCCAUCUAAGUCAGACGUGAAAUCCCCCGGCUUAACCUGGGAACUGCGUCUGAUACUGGACGGCUUGAGUAUGGGAGAGGGAUGUAGAAUUCCAGGUGUAGCGGUGAAAUGCGUAGAUAUCGGGAGGAACACCAGUGGCGAAGGCGACUACCUGGCCUGUUCUUGACGCUGAGGCGCGAAAGCUAGGGGAGCAAACGGG
rnacentral:rRNA from 1 species